rnacentral:rRNA from 1 species
AUGAACGCUGGCGGCGUGCUUAACACAUGCAAGUCGAACGGAAAGGCACAAGCUUGCUUGGGUACUCGAGUGGCGAACGGGUGAGUAACACGUGGGUGAUCUGCCCUGCACUUCGGGAUAAGCCUGGGAAACUGGGUCUAAUACCGGAUAGGACCACAUUUUGGAUGGUGUGGUGGAAAGUUUUUCGGUGUGGGAUGAGCUCGCGGCCUAUCAGCUUGUUGGUGGGGUAAUGGCCUACCAAGGCGUCGACGGGUAGCCGGCCUGAGAGGGUGUACGGCCACAUUGGGACUGAGAUACGGCCCAGACUCCUACGGGAGGCAGCAGUGGGGAAUAUUGCACAAUGGGCGCAAGCCUGAUGCAGCGACGCCGCGUGGGGGAUGACGGCCUUCGGGUUGUAAACUCCUUUCGCUAGGGACGAAGCGCAAGUGACGGUACCUGGAGAAGAAGCACCGGCUAACUACGUG